UACGAAGGGGGCUAGCGUUGCUCGGAAUCACUGGGCGUAAAGGGUGCGUAGGCGGGUCUUUAAGUCAGGGGUGAAAUCCUGGAGCUCAACUCCAGAACUGCCUUUGAUACUGAGGAGCUUGAGUCCGGGAGAGGUGAGUGGAACUGCGAGUGUAGAGGUGAAAUUCGUAGAUAUUCGCAAGAACACCAGUGGCGAAGGCGGCUCACUGGCCCGGUACUGACGCUGAGACGCGAAAGCGUGGGGAGCAAACAGG
rnacentral:rRNA from 1 species